AUGGAGCAAUCCUGUGGACUGUGUCCUCAGUCUUCAGUCAUGUGUGGACUGGUCAGCAUGCAUUGUCUCUUCAGAGUGAGCCUCAAAGGAGCUGUACAGGCCUCACAGGGAGCAACUCACUUGUCAGGUUUGACAGUCCAAUUUUCCUCAGUCAAAAUGUGGAACUCAGAAGGAAUUACUGACAGUCAUCUCAGGUGGGUGUUAAAUGAUGCCAUCUGACCCGGAUAGGCA
rnacentral:lncRNA from 1 species